AUGUGUGUGUAUGUGUGUGUAUAUGUUUGUAUAUAUAUAAAACGGUGAAAAACAUAGUUUAAGCAACACAUCGAUUAGACCACAUUUUAAAGCUUGUUUAUUGAUACAAUGCAAGAUAUAACAAAGCUAACAGCUGUUUCUAAUCAGAUUGCGAGAAUGUAUUCUAUAGAUA